ACAACAGUUGGAAACGACUGCUAAUACCGCAUAAGCCCACGACCCGGCAUCGGGAAGAGGGAAAAGGAGCAAUCCGCUUUGAGAUGGCCUCGCGUCCGAUUAGCUAGUUGGUGAGGUAACGGCCCACCAAGGCGACGAUCGGUAGCCGGACUGAGAGGUUGAACGGCCACAUUGGGACUGAGACACGGCCCAGACUCCUACGGGAGGCAGCAGUGGGGAAUAUUGCACAAUGGGGGAAACCCUGAUGCAGCGACGCCGCGUGGAGGAAGAAGGUCUUCGGAUUGUAAACUCCUGUUGUUGAGGAAGAUAAUGACGGUACUCAACAAGGAAGUGACGGCUAACUACGUGCCAGCAGCCGCGGUAAAACGUAGGUCACAAGCGUUGUCCGGAAUUACUGGGUGUAAAGGGAGCGCAGGCGGGAAGACAAGUUGGAAGUGAAAUCCAUGGGCUCAACCCAUGAACUGCUUUCAAAACUGUUUUUCUUGAGUAGUGCAGAGGUAGGCGGAAUUCCCGGUGUAGCGGUGGAAUGCGUAGAUAUCGGGAGGAACACCAGUGGCGAAGGCGGCCUACUGGGCACCAACUGACGCUGAGGCUCGAAAGUGUGGGUAGCAAACAGGAUUAGAUACCCUGGUAGUCCACACCGUAAACGAUGAUUACUAGGUGUUGGAGGAUUGACCCCUUCAGUGCCG
rnacentral:rRNA from 1 species